rnacentral:rRNA from 1 species
GUGGGGAAUAUUGCACAAUGGGGGAAACCCUGAUGCAGCGACGCCGCGUGGAGGAUGAAGGCCUUCGGGUUGUAAACUCCUUUUGUAGGGGAAGAUAAUGACGGUACCCUGCGAAUAAGCCACGGCUAACUCUGUGCCAGCAGCCGCGGUAAGACAGAGGUGGCGAGCGUUGUUCGGAAUUACUGGGCUUAAAGGGCGAGUAGGCGGUGGAGCAAGUCUGAGGUGGAAUCCUACGGCUUAACCGUAGAACUGCCUUAGAAACUGUUUUACUUGAGUCAGUGAGGGGAGGGCGGAAUUCCUGGUGUAGCGGUGAAAUGCGUAGAUAUCAGGAGGAAGGCCUGUGGCGAAAGUGGCCCUCUGGCACUGUACUGACGCUGAGGCGCGAAAGCGUGGGGAGCAAACAGGAUUAGAUACCCGAGUAGUCC